CUCAAGCUUCCUACACUAACUUUUUGUCUGAAAAUAAAAUCUACAUUUUCGUCAACUGCGUCCAGUCAGCAGAUGGACGAGAUGCCGUUUAGGCCGCCAGUUGUGACUCCUUCAAGAAUUCAGCAGAGCAAGUUUGUAUGAAAGUCUGGUUAUUAAAUGGGUACAUAGUUCAAUAGUAAUAUCCUCUAAAACCCUCUGGUCAUGAACUUUGCUGCCCUGUUUCCAGUUGUCCACAUUUCAGGGAGAACCUAUUCAAGUAGCUCGCUAACAGCCAUGGAGGAGGGUGAAAGGAUAGCAGCCCCAACUGUCAGUGAGAUAGGAGGCUAUUCUGGAAAGGGCAGAUAAAGAGCACCAUGAAAGCCUGUCUACAUAUGAAGAGGUCCCAAUGAAGAUCAGUGGUUCUCAGUCCUGGGGACUCAGAGGCACAUUGUUGUUUUUGUCUCAGCACUGCACAGCUGAUUCAAAUGAUCAACUCAUCAUCAAGCUUCAAGUGAUACCUUGUAACUGGAGAUUCCUUCAAAACUAUUGCCUACAGUUACCGUGUAGGCCACUGCAAGGUUGGGUGACCAUGGUCAUCUGGGACUGCCUCCUGGAGGAAUUCAGGCAUAAAGUACUCUGCAGCCACUUAGUGUGGUGUGGACACCAGGUUAUAUCAGCUGUGUCGGUGAACCCCUCCUGCAUCUGAACUGGCUACAUAGUGGGCACAGCAUGAUCUGAGGUGAGAGGUCACUUGGUCAGGUCAACAGGAAGUAUUAUUAAAGAGAUGCUUUACAUUAAAAUACAGAUAGAGAUGCAGUUGUCCCAGAGUUAAUGAUCCCAGGUCAGUUUAUAUUAUUCAGGAUGUAUUAUUAAAGAGAUGCUUUACAUUGAAAUACAGAUUGUAACGAUCUGAGUGUAGUGGGUGAGGAGUCAGGCGCAGGAAGCAGAGAGUUCAGGUGAGUGCUAUUUUAAUGCACAGACAAACGGCGAACAUAAGCCAACCCUCACGAACACACAGGGCGUAAUGAACAAACAAAUGCCCCAAACAGGGGGACUUACACUGUCCAUGGAAAAGCCACAAAAUGGGAAAACACAAAAACCCAUAGACGUGCACACAAGUACACUAAACAGACGGUCACAAUAAUUAAUCCCGCACAAGGAACCCUGCGAGCCGGCUGACUAAUAAAGCCUUACUAUCUAACUCAAAACAGGUGCACUCAAUCAACACAUAAGGAGGGGGAGGAAAUAAUCAGUAGCAGCUAGUAGGCCGGCGACGACGACCACCGAGCGCCACCCGAACGGGAAGGGGAGUGUCCUUCGGUCGGAGUCGUGACACAGAUAGAGAUGCAGUAGUCCCAGAGUUAGUGAUCCCAGAUAUGUUUUGAUGUGAGAGGAUGCCAACCCCCAGUCCCAUCAGCCACCUCACCUGCUUUUAAGAUAAUAGUGACUCAUCAGUCCAAAGGUUAUGUAAUUGUGAUGAACUGAGAGAAUAUUUAGGUAGCACUGUGAGAGACACAUUAAUCAUGUGCUGCCUUCCCUGCUCCUAUGUGCUUACCUCUUUCCCUUUCUGUCUUUUACACCUCUCUCUCCACCUCUUUCUUCCUCUGUUUUUAUAAUUCACAACAGAUGUGCAUUGAAGUACAUAUUGAACUUGUAUUUAUAACACUUGUAUAAAGAGCUUUUCAAUAAAGCUUUUCACA